rnacentral:rRNA from 1 species
CACGUAGGGCGCGAGCGUUGUCCGGAAUUAUUGGGCGUAAAGAGCGUGUAGGCGGCCAGACAGGUCCGUUGUGAAAACUCGAGGCUCAACCUCGAGAUGUCGAUGGAAACCGUCUGGCUAGAGUCCGGAAGAGGAGUGUGGAAUUCCUGGUGUAGCGGUGAAAUGCGCAGAUAUCAGGAAGAACACCUAUGGCGAAGGCAGCACUCUGGGACGGUACUGACGCUGAGACGCGAAAGCGUGGGGAGCGAACAGG